UCACAGAUUCUCGUACGAACACCAAAGUUAAGCAAUGUCGAGCCUGGUCAGUACCUAGAUGGUUGAACGCUUGGGAAUACCACGUGCUG